AUUGAACGCUGGCGGCAUGCCUUACACAUGCAAGUCGAACGGCAGCACGGGUGCUUGCACCUGGUGGCGAGUGGCGAACGGGUGAGUAAUACAUCGGAACGUACCUUAUCGUGGGGGAUAACGCAGCGAAAGCUGUGCUAAUACCGCAUACGCCCUGAGGGGGAAAGCGGGGGAUCGAAAGACCUCGCGCGAUUAGAGCGGCCGAUGCCUGAUUAGCUUGUUGGUGGGGUAAAAGCCCACCAAGGCGACGAUCAGUAGCUGGUCUGAGAGGACGAUCAGCCACACUGGGACUGAGACACGGCCCAGACUCCUACGGGAGGCAGCAGUGGGGAAUUUUUGACAAUGGGGGCAACCCUGAUCCAGCAAUGCCGCGUGAGGUAAGAAGGCCUUCGGGUUGUAAAGCUCUUUUGUCAGGGAAGAAACACCGGCUCUAACACAGUCCGGGAAUGACGGUACCUGAAGAAUAAGCACCGGCUAACUACGUGCCAGCCGCCGCCGUAA
rnacentral:rRNA from 1 species